GAUUAUAUAUUAUCAGGACACCUACUUGCUCAUAAAUAUUCUUAUGAAAUUAUACGAGACUGCUGGGUUUCCUCAGGGUGCUCCGGUUUCCUCCUACUUUCCAAAGAUGUACCAAUUGGUAGGUUAGUUGGUCAUUGUAAAUUGCCCUGUGGUUAGGCUAGGGUUAAAUUGGGGACUGGUGGGCAGCACAGUUCAAAGGGCCUGAAGGGCCUAUUCUUCACUGUAUCUUAAUAAAUAAAUAAAUUUCUCAAGUGCAUAUAGAUCUUCUCAAGUUCUCAAAUCAACGGAAUAAAUUUCAGUGACAGAGAAAAUUGUGUUAUUCUAAUAACCAUGAAUGUUAUUUAAAGCUGCUGAGUGGGCCUGAAGUUGCAAGUAUCAGAAACAUCCUUCCCCUUUGAAUUGAAUUGAAUUAUCUUUAGUGUCAUUCUACAUAGGUACAACGAAACUCUGUUUAGAUUCCUCUCAGGCAAUUAAAUAAAGCAGUAGAUAAAAACCAGACAGUAAUAAAAAAAACAGUAUUAAAUAGAUAAGUAGCAGAAAAUAAGUUGCAGCAGCACCAGAAUAUCACAGUAAUGCACAAAGUGCCGUUAGUGCAAAUAUUUGAGUCCUUGUGUGUGCUCACAGUUUCAAUCAUUGUUCUGUGGGAUUGGUGUGAUGGAGGCCACAACUCUGGGGUAUAAACUGUUCCUCAGUCUAUUUGUUCUGGCUUAUAGUGUCCUGAACCUUUUGCUGGACAGCAGUGGAUCAAACAGGGAGUGGCCGGGUGUGUGGUGUUUCUGUUAUGCUGAUUGCUUUCCUCCUGAGUCUGCUGGAAUAGAUGGUGUCCAGUCCUUUCCCCCCCCCCUACCCCCCAACUCACAAUAGUAUCGUAGGUUGUUUGGUAAUCCAUCGUUCAGAUGAUAAAUUAAACUAAGAAUUCUUCUGGUCUUUCAGGUAGAUGUAACAGAUCCCAUGGCACUGUGCUGAAAAAGAGUAGAGCAGGUCACUCCCCAGUUAAAUUUACUUAAAAACAAAGCAAUUAAUCCUGGAAAUAAUCAGGAAGCAAUUCGUAAGAUGGCAGAAAAUAUACUGUAGCAUAACCUAAAUUAUAAGAGAAGCUUCACUUUCGAUGGCAUUCAGUGGCUAUAAAACACCCUGUGAUAUACUGAUCUCGGGAAAGGUGCUAUAAAAGUACUAGUCUUUCUUUGAUGUUGUGUUAAGUCAACAGAUCUAGAAGAUCAAAAGCUAAACAUUUAAGAGGUAAUUCCAUGAUCUAACACUCAUAGUAGGAAAUUGUAUGUGCAGGAAGUACAGACAAGUAACUGAUUACGAGAGAGUUUUCUCUCUCAGAAGAAUGCUCCCAGCAAGCUCAGCUGGGAAUGUGAUAGCGCCAAAAGGCCCACGUGCUGUAGGGUGAGUUCUAUGAUCUCAACUGAUUAGUGAGUUAAUCAGCAUCAUUGGAGAAAGAAAUGGAAAUGGUAUCUUAUUCAGUCCUCAACAGAUUACAUAGGGUGACCAGUGCAUGCUGUUUAUUUCAGACAUGUUGCUAUUAAUACCAUCAGCUCACAUGAUUUACUGAGCUCAAGAGAGAGAAUUCGAGGUGCAAAAAUGCACAGCAAGCUCUACUUAUUAUUUUUCUUUUUGAUUUAUCUGUGAAAAAUAAUACCUCAGGUUUUGUUGCAUUAUUUGGAGUGGUUUUUAGUGGCUCCCUCUGUUCCUUCAGUGAUAUGGAGCUGAAAUAAAUUAUUUCUUAAUGACAACCAGCACUUUCAAUGGCUCCACUAGAUUUAGCAGAGUACAUGCUAAUUCAAUUGUCCCCUCAGAUUAUACAUCUUUAUGCUUGAAAAUAUUUUCCGCAAAUACUGCUUAAAAUAAAAAUCAAUGUGAAAUGUGAAAAUCGAUCCUGAGGCUUUCUCUAUGCUCCCUUUUUAAAAAGAAAACACAUUUAGCAUUCAUGAAGGAAAAAGAGAAGGUGGGGCGAUACAGGAAUUUGUCUGAAGACUUUAAUUUUACGUUCUUAAGCCAUAUGCACUUCAGAAGGGAUUGAAUUGCCCUUCAGCUUGUCAGGCAGGAUAUGCAGUGUGAGAAAAAAGUGUUUUCCAACCUGUAUCCUUGGCUUCAUCACCAAGGCGGCAGUAAAGAGGAUUAUCAAACAAGAAUGGAUCUUGUUGAUUCAUCAGUACCUGAAUAGAUGCACUACUUAGAGGCACUUUUAUGUUGAUAGAGUGCCUUCGAUAGCGAGUGCAAAGUUCUCCUACUGUGACAAAUCUCUGUUAUACAAAGUGGGAAAAGUCCAUAGACCUAAUUGUAGUAUAACCCAUGAAUUACAGUAAAGGCUGGGUUUGAAUCUAAAUGCGUAGAGCUAGAUUCAUGUCCUUCUAUUCUUUAACUGUGAGUUAAUGAUAUGCUAUAUUGCCCAUUCUUAAUGGCUUCUUCUUUUCUUAGCCAGUUCAUCGGAAUUGAGAAUUACUCACUUCCAUUCAGGUUUUGUGGUUCUGGGAUGGCGGAAUAGGCCCACGUGGGAACUGCAGAUUCUUCCAUUCAUGGGCAGGAGGAGACUGAUGGGGUACUCAGCUGCCCAGCAACAAAGACUUUGUGCGCAGGAGCAUUUCAGUUUCUGUGGGCUGUGCCCCACUCAGCUUAGAGGGAACAGUGAUUAUCAAUGACUGAAAUUGUCAUCAUAAAGGAGAACUAAAGGCUUUUCUGUACAGUGAGAUUAAAAUCUAUUACAAAAUGGAAUCAAACACCCCAGUUAUGGUUAUAUUUACACUUUGAACACUUAACUAUCCAAAGAAGAAAUAUGCUACAACCCACUUAUUUUGGAUUAGAACUCCAGUGAGAAAAUUAAAAGGAUGUUAUCCAUACCCACUUGAUCCCUGAAUAAUAAUUAUCUUCAGAAUUAAAGCUGGGAAUUAUUUUAUUUUUCAUAUAUAAACAAGCCUCCCUUUGUGCUUGACAUCAAUAUUUUUCUUUCACUCCACAUGGAAUGCUAAUGAUUGAAGUGAGUUGUAUUCUGAAAUCUUCGCUCUUGGUGAAAAGCCACUAGAUGCCAUAAUUACAAGACUUCCUGUUAAAUAGAGAAUUGUUCUACAAGAUGAUUUUUACCAAGCUGAGUACCAAGAGAGGAAGCAAAACUGAAAAUGACUCAUUUCCAAGUUUAUAUGAGUUACUCAGUAAAGCCACAGGGAACGUCAGGAGAAAUUGCAAAAAAUGCUGCCCCACAUCACUGCAAGGUAUCUGAAAUUAUGUUGCAGCUUCUGCGGUCUUUGUCUACAGGAAUUAUGUUAAUAUUCUUGGAGAUGUAGGGAAAUGUUUUUAAAGGCUGAAAGUAAGUUUCAGAUUCUGAUUUAAACUUUUGGGUUGCUGGUUGAUAAGGAAACUGUUCUAAAAUGAGACUUGAGCUAAGCUAAUACCCAACACAGCCACUGGCUUUCUGUUCACAUUUAGACAGAACAUAAAUAGAUUAAUAUCAAAGCAAAGAAAGAUACUCAAAGAAAAAAAAAGUUUCACUUAACUUAUUAUUCAUGCAAAAUAUACUUUUAUCUUGUCUUUCAGAGCCUUAGAGUGAUCUCAAAGUCAAAGUCAAGUUUAUUAUAUAUUCAAGCACAUGUAUGCACAGGAGGAAUGAAAAGCUUACUUGCAGCAGAAUCACAGAGACGGCAUUCACAAGGAAAAUAUAAAUUGCACAAUUUUUACCAGACAAAAAUACAGUUUGAACAAAAACAAGUCAAUUUUAACACAAAGUGAUCUGAGUGGUCAUAGUGCUGUUAAAUUGUAGUGUUUAGGGUUUAGCCAGUAGGUUCCAGUACCAGAUGGUUGAAGGGAAGUAGCUAUUUUUGAGUGUGAUAUGGUGCUUCAGGCUUCUAUACCUCCUUCCUGACGAUAGCUGCAAAAAGGUGUCAUGGCCUGGAUAUAGGAGAUCAUUGAUGUUGCCUUCUUGAGGCAGCUCCUACCAGUGGAGGAGAGGGAUAUACACACGAUGGAUUGAGCAGAUCUCUGCUUCUUUUUACAUUUCCAUGCAUUCAAAUUGCUAUAGUGCACCAUGGUACUUUCAACAGUACUUCUGUCAAAGUUUGCUGGAGCAGGUUGCGAUAAGCUGAACUUCGAAUAAACUCUUCUCGGGCUUCCAGCCGGAUGCAGGUAUUGAUUAUAACUGAAAUUGCAAUGCCAAACUCUGCCAUCUUCUUCAGGGAUCAUACCUGGGUAUGUCUAGUCCAGUGGCAUUUACACCCCCAUAGUCCGUCCUUUCAUAAUUGAUUAGUCCUCAUCCUUUCCACUCUCCCACCUUGGAUACAAUCAAAUUCCAGUUCUUACUUAGAAUGAGACCUCCAUCUUUGUUAAAAUUCUUUUCUUCUACUUUUAUUUCAAUGGCAUCCUUCACCAGGCAAUCCCAAAAGCCAUUGUCGCGGCACAGUAGUUCUGUGCCAUCGAAGUCAAUCCUAUGGCCAUUGUGAAUGCAGUGUUCUGCUACCACCAAUUUCUUCAGGUAACUGGAAUGAAUACCCUUCCUGUACUCCUUGAUGUGGGUUUCCCCACAUGGCCAUUAUAUCCUGCUCUGCAUUCACAGGGAAUCCUUUAAACACUAGACAACUUAAGUCUCAGGACAAUUUUGACCCCCAUAAGCGAUGACUUGAGCUUCCUCAGGGGUUUGUGAAUUGCAUUGAUCUGAUAUUUCUUCAGGCUCCUGGUGAUCCUUGCAGAAACGGUGGAAAUAUAAGGAAGGCAGGCGGUAGCGACAUGUUCCUCCUCGUUGUUAGGUGUCCUGGUUUUUCUAUCGGCAGAACCUCCAAAGAAAGUUAAGGAGUUGGUGCACAUUUCUUGUGAUGGUGUCUACAUACUGGGCCCAGGACAGAUCACCUCAGAACCUGAAUCAGGUUGAAUAUCGCUGGCAUAUUUUGUGAAAUUUGUUGUUCUGUGGAAAUACAUGAUAAUAAAAAAGCUAGAAAUUACAAUAGCAAAUAUAUAUGUAAAAUAAAUUAAAUAAAGAAUUUGAUUUAAAAGAGAGGAAAAAAUAGUGAGUAGGCGUGCAUGAGUUCAUUGUCCAUUUGCAAAUCUGAUGGUGGAGGGGACAAAGCUGUUUCUGAGUCAUUGUGUGUGUCUCUUCAGGCUUCUGUCCCUCUUCUAUGAUGAGAAGCAGACAUGUUCUGGGUGUUGAGGAAUGCCAUCUCUUUGAGACAUCGCCUUUUGAAGGAAUUUAAAGCUGCUGAUUCUCUCCAUUGUCAAUCUCCCAAUGUUGACUGAUUCACAUUCUUCCUCUUUUCUCUCCUGAAGUCAACAAUCUGCUCUUCAGUUUUGCUGACAUUGAGCAAGAUGUUACUGUUGUGGUCAGAUAUACGAUCUUACUCCAGUAAGCUAACUCAUCACUAUCUGUGAUUUGUCCAACGAUGAAAUUGGUGGUGGCAUUGGAACUGUGCUUAGCCACACAGUUAUGUUUGCAUAGAGCAAAGCAAGGGGCUAAGCACGCAGCCUUGAGAGUUUCUGAUGGACUGGGCUAAAUGUGCCAAACCCAAAAAUCACUCUAACUGCAACCACACAUAUGAAAUCAGCAAUAACCUACUUAAAGCAGAUUCCCAAAAUCAAUGAUUAAAUUGAUCUGUUAAUUUGUGAUUCAAUUAAUAUAAAAUGCUUCUCAGGUAACCCCAAGUUAUGAAUAGUUGCCAGAAACUCUCCUCCGAUAAUGCCUGUAUGAGACUAAAGAUGAAGUGUAAUUUUAAUAUCAUGUUCAAAAGAUGCCACCUCUGACACUGUGACAUUAGGACUAAACUUUAUCUUAGUCAUAUGCCCUGACAUCUGGAAAAAUGUUAUAAUUUAUUUAAGUUUAACUCUGCAUAUCUUGUCUCUGUACUGUUACUGGUACUCAGAGAAAAUAGUGUGGUUUUUAAUUGGCACUGUCGGAAUUUUAGCAAAAUAUAUAAAAUUCUAUGAAGCUGAGAAACAGAAUAUGAAACAAACUAUUGUAUUUUCCUAUGUUACAACUGAAGAUAAUUGUUUUACUCAGAACUUUCUAUUAUUAAAAAGGAUGUU